GAUGUAGGGGUGGUGUUAGAUGUAGGGGUGGUGGUGUUAGAUAUAGGGUGGUGGUGUUAGAUGUAGAGUGGUGGUGUUAGAUAUAGGGGUGGUGAUGUUAGAUAUAGGGUGGUGGUGUUAGAUGUAGGGGUGGUGGUGUUAGAUGUAGGGUGGUGGUGUUAGAUGUAGGGUGGUGGUGUUAGAUGUAGACUGGUGGUGUUAGAU
ensembl:lncRNA